AUAUCCGACCCAAAGUCCGCGUAGUUCUUUCAAGGCCCGUAAUCUUGUCUCUUGUGAACAAACGUAUCAGUUGGAAGUAAGCUGCUUCGAGUGAACAACACACUGGCUGUUUAACUACAACACCAAAUUAUAUAAAUUCCCUAUAAAAUAAAUUCCUUGAGGAGCGGGAGCCCGCCGCGGGAAAUACCCACCUCCAAGGAAAAGAAUUUAAGCACCGCAGUCACACACACUUUGGUUUGUGUUUUAGCAUGUGAGGUUGUGAGACGUUGUGUUGUGAUUUGUGUUAUAAGGAGUAGGAGGAAAAAUACGUCUUCAUUUUUUUAAAGCCAUGGCAUCGGAGUUUCCUUACGUCCUGAACCCCUUCCCGGAGGAGGUGCAGACGAAGCUGAAGGCGAAGUUCCUCGGGUUCAGGGGCGGCUUAGUGGACGUCGAGGGGCGCACGCCAUGCGCGCACUACGCCGCUUUGGAG